UACGAAGGGGGCUAGCGUUACUCGGAUUGACUGGGCGUAAAGGGCGCGUAGGCGGCAAUUCAAGUCAUCUGUGAAAUCUCCGGGCUUAACUCGGAACGGUCAGAUGAUACUGCUUUGCUAGAGUGCGGAAGGGGCAAUCGGAAUUCUUGGUGUAGCGGUGAAAUGCGUAGAUAUCAGGAGGAACACCAAUAGCGAAGGCAGCUCGCUGGGACGUUACCGACACUGAGGCGCGAAAGCGUGGGGAGCGAACAGG
rnacentral:rRNA from 1 species